rnacentral:lncRNA from 1 species
AUAAUAUAGAGAGUCGGUCAAAUUUUCAAAUGGUGAUAAUUCAUACUUGACAAAAAUAUCUUCAAUAAAGCAGUAUAAGUAAUCAUUGAAUUUAUUUUGAUGUCUUUCCAAAUUUAUUUAAUAAAUAAUUUUUAUAAAAAAAUUAAGAUAGAGAUGGCAUUAUAAAAAAGGCUAUAUAAUUAUAGUCAUUUUCUAAAAACUAAUUGAAGAUGGCAAUACUAUCUUAGUAUUAAAAAAAUAUUUUAUGUUGAAGGG